CGCUGGCGGCGUGCUUACACAUGCAAGUCGCACGAGAACACUCAGCUUGCUGGGGUAAGUAAAGUGGCGCACGGGUGAGUAACGCGUGGGUAAUCUGCCCUCGAAUCUGGGAUAACCCCGCGAAAGCGGGGCUAAUACCGGAUGAAAUCCAGUUAGCUUUGGCUAUAUGGAUCAAAGGUGGCCUCUGCAUGCAAGCUACUGUUUGGGGAUGAGCCCGCGUACCAUUAGCUUGUUGGUGGGGUAAAGGCCCACCAAGGCGACGAUGGUUAGCUGGUCUGAGAGGAUGAUCAGCCACACUGGAACUGGAACACGGUCCAGACUCCUACGGGAGGCAGCAGUGAGGAAUUUUGCGCAAUGGGGGUAACCCUGACGCAGCAACGCCGCGUGAGUGAUGAAGGCCUUCGGGUCGUAAAGCUCUGUCAAGUGGGAAGAACCCAUUCCGGCACAACAAGCCGGGGUGCUGACGGUACCACUGAAGGAAGCACCGGCUAACUCCGUGCCAGCAGCCGCGGUAAUACGGAGGGUGCGAGCGUUAUUCGGAAUUACUGGGCGUAAAGGGCGCGUAGGCGGCCGAUUAAGUCAGAUGUGAAAUCCCGGGGCUUACCCCCGGAAGUGCAUUUGAUACUGAACGGCUUGAGUAUGGGAGAGGGAAGUGGAAUUCCUGGUGUAGCGGUGAAAUGCGUAGAUAUCAGGAGGAACGCCGGUGGCGAAGGCGACUUCCUGGACCAAUACUGACGCUGAGGCGCGAAGGCGUGGGGAGCAAACAGGAUUAGAUACCCUGGUAGCCCACGCAGUAAACGGUG
rnacentral:rRNA from 1 species